rnacentral:lncRNA from 1 species
AGCGCGCCUCGCCCCUCGGGAGGGCGGGGAGGGAGAGGCGCGGGGGGAGGUAACGCUGACCUCCAAGGAGUCUGUCCCCAACUUAUUUUGAAAAGGUAGUAAUCUUUAAAAGACCAGGGAGCAUCCAAGAAUGCUACCAGUGCCCUUCUCUUUGCAGUAGCAUUUGGGGGAUUUUAACUUCUUUCCCCUCUCCUCCCCUUCUCCGCCUCAUCCUCUUCUUAGUGCUGGGAUUGAAUUCAAGGCCUUCAUGCCGUCUAGAUUCUCAGCUUCCCCACACUUCCUUUUUCGUUUUCUUUUCUUUUGGACAGGGUCGCACUAUGUAGAUCAGGCUGGCCUUAAACUCACUACGUAGCCCAGGCUGGCCUCCGAACUCAUGGCGAUCCUCCUGCCUCCGCCUUCUGAGUGCUAGGAUUACAGAUGAACACCACCACACCCAACCUGCUAAUUUUUUUUAAUGUUUUCUUUAUCCUCCACAUUUUCUUCUGUGAGACAGGAUCUUUAAUACUUUUUAUAAUCAGGAAAUUUAAAACAUAAUGAGAAACUGAGGCCCAGGAGAGCAGGGCUCUGAUACCAUAACGCAGCCCACACAGGCAACCCUGUCUUCAGCCUGACAAACUCCCCUCAUAGGGGACACCCUUGUCGUCUGCCCCCUCCCCACACCCCAGCGCCUGACUCCACGCUCCCAGCGCCCCAUCUGCAGAGCGCCCUCUGCUGGGCGUGCGCGGUCCUACGCCUCCCAGGGGCUGCGCCAUCCCGCGGGCUGCACCCACUGCGCCUGCGCCUUGCGCCCUCCAUACUUGGGAGCCGCAGUUGCCCGGGGCUCCAUCCUCCCACACUGGGACCCAGGAGUCCCUCCCUCCACCCUGCACUUGCGGACAGCCCUCCGCUAGUCCAUCUGCCCCACCCAGCUCAGACAGGCUCAUUUAUUGCGCACCUACUGUGUACCCUACACCACUCAGCCCAGGAAGCAGGGCAAACACAGACCCUGCCCUGGAGUUUGGGGUGCAGAAAAAACGAGCAAAUGCCUCGGACAGAGACCUCCGCCCGGGACCAGAUGUCCAUCCAGCCAGACCCUUACCCAGGACAGGGGCUGAUGUGUGGGAGGAAGGAGACGAGGCAGGAAGGCCAGAGGAGGCCUGAGUGGCUCAGUGCACAACUCGGGCACCCGUGCCAGUCAUAUCCCGGCCAUGAGGGAUGUCCCUGUUGAAG